AGGUGGGGGUUGGGGUUAGGGUUAGGGUGAGGGUUAGGGUGAGGGUGAAGGUUAGGGUGAGGGUGAGGGUGAGGGUUAGGGUGAGGGUUAGGGUGAAGGUUAGGGUGAGGGUUAGGGUGGGGGUUAGGGUUAGGGUGAGGGUUAGGGUGAGGGUGAGGGUGAAGGUUAGGGUGAGGGUGAAGGUUAGGGUUAGGGUGAAGGUUAGGGUGAGGGUUAGGGUUAGGGUGAGGAUGAGGCUGAGAGUUAGGGUGAGGGUUAGGGUGAGGGUGAAGGUUAGGGUGAGGGUGAGGGUUAGGGUGAGGGUUAGGGUGAGUGUGAGGAUUUGGGUGAGGGUUAGGGUGAGGGUUAGGGUUAGAGGGUUAGGGAGGGUGGGUGAG
ensembl:lncRNA